rnacentral:rRNA from 1 species
CGGCACGGGUGAGUAACACGUAUCCAACCUGCCGUCUACUCUUGGACAGCCUUCUGAAAGGAAGAUUAAUACAAGAUGGCAUCAUGAGUCCGCAUGUUCACAUGAUUAAAGGUAUUCCGGUAGACGAUGGGGAUGCGUCCAUUAGAUAGUAGGCGGGGUAACGGCCCACCUAGUCUUCGAUGGAUAGGGGUUCUGAGAGGAAGGUCCCCCACAUUGGAACUGAGACACGGUCCAA